UACAGGGGGUGCAAACGUUGCUCGGAAUUAUUGGGCGUAAAGCGCGCGUAGGCGGCUACUUAAGUCGGAUGUGAAAGCCCUCGGCUCAACCGAGGAAGUGCAUACGAAACUGGCGAGCUUGAAUAUGGAAGAGGGUCGCGGAAUUCCCGGUGUAGAGGUGAAAUUCGUAGAUAUCGGGAGGAAUACCGAUGGCGAAGGCAGGUCUCUGGGCUGACACUGACGCUCAUGCACGAAAGCGUGGGGAGCAAACAGG
rnacentral:rRNA from 1 species